CUUACAGCUCGGGUUUUUCUGGUUAAUUGCUGCAGCAAGAGGACUAGCCGGCCGUGUGCAGAGCAUCCUUUUUUGACCCUCAGAGAGCCCGGGCGGGAAAAGAGCGUCCCUCAAGAGGGCCUUGGCCCUCGUGGAUCUGGUUCUCUCAGGCCAGCGUUCCUUCGACGGGGACUCUCCUGGCGAGUUCCUAGCCGUUACCCUUUCCUCAGCUCAGCUCCUGGACCAUGGCUCUGGGUCACACAGCCUCCUGGGCUGCUCUUUCGUAUGCCACAUUUUUAUUCACUUUUGAGAGCCUAUGCGCCAUGCACCCUUCUAAUCCCUGAAUGGACGAAACAAAGCCCUUAGACUGACAUUCUAAUGGAGAACAGAAAUCAAGAUGUGGUGUUAUGAAUUGUGUCCACCCCAAAUUCGUAUAUUGAAGCCCUAAUCCCCAAUGUGACUGUAUUUGGAAAUAGGGCCUUUAAAGAGGUAAUUAAGGUUAAGUGAAGUCACAAGUGUGGGUCCCAAACCAACAUGACUUGCAUCUUUGUGAGAAGAGGAAGAAAUUCCUGGGAUCUGUGUGCACAGAGAAAAGGCCGUGUUGAGGACACCUGCAGGCCAGGGAGAGAAGCCUCUGGAGAAAUC
rnacentral:lncRNA from 1 species